GAUGAACGCUGGCGGCGUGCCUAAUACAUGCAAGUCGAGCGAACAGAUAAGGAGCUUGCUCCUUUGACGUUAGCGGCGGACGGGUGAGUAACACGUGGAUAACCUACCUAUAAGACUGGGAUAACUUCGGGAAACCGGAGCUAAUACCGGAUAACAUAUUGAACCGCAUGGUUCAAUAGUGAAAGGCGGCUUUGCUGUCACUUAUUGAUGGAUCCGCGCCGUAUUAGCUAGUUGGUAAGGUAACGGCUUACCAAGGCAACGAUACGUAGCCGACCUGAGAGGGUGAUCGGCCACACUGGAACUGAGACACGGUCCAGACUCCUACGGGAGGCAGCAGUAGGGAAUCUUCCGCAAUGGGCGAAAGCCUGACGGAGCAACGCCGCGUGAGUGAUGAAGGUCUUCGGAUCGUAAAACUCUGUUAUCAGGGAAGAACAAAUGUGUAAGUAACUGUGCACAUCUUGACGGUACCUGAUCAGAAAGCCACGGCUAACUACGUG
rnacentral:rRNA from 1 species